UUUGAUCCUGGCUCAGAGUGAACGCUGGCGGCAGGCCUAACACAUGCAAGUCGAACGGCAGCACAGCAGUAGCAAUACUGUGGGUGGCGAGUGGCGGACGGGUGAGGAAUACAUCGGAAUCUACCUUGUCGUGGGGGAUAACGUAGGGAAACUUACGCUAAUACCGCAUACGAACUAUGGUUGAAAGCGGCGGACCGCAAGGCGUCGCGCGAUUGGAUGAGCCGAUGUCCGAUUAGCUAGUUGGCGGGGUAAAGGCCCACCAAGGCGACGAUCGGUAGCUGGUCUGAGAGGAUGAUCAGCCACACUGGAACUGAGACACGGUCCAGACUCCUACGGGAGGCAGCAGUGGGGAAUAUUGGACAAUGGGCGCAAGCCUGAUCCAGCCAUGCCGCGUGUGUGAAGAAGGCCUUCGGGUUGUAAAGCACUUUUGUUGGGGAAGAAAAGCUACCGGUUAAUACCCGGGAGUUCUGACGGUACCCAAAGAAUAAGCACCGGCUAACUUCGUG
rnacentral:rRNA from 1 species